rnacentral:lncRNA from 1 species
GUUUAAUGACAUCCAAAUGAUGAACAGGAUGCCUGGAAAAUUAGAUAUUUGUAGACAUUAAUCCUUAAAACCCUCAGGAAAACCAAAAAAUAACCUAUUACUUAUUCCAAGGUAUCUGAGAUUGUACAAAGCCUUAACAAAAGUUCCAAUAUUUUUAUGGAGGAACUCAAGAAGGCAAAGAGGAAAACACACCACUGUGGAUCUUGAAUCUACAGAGGGCCACCUACCAUUAAAAGAUAAAUUUAGGGCUGGGGUUGUGACUCAGUUGUGGAGUGUGUGCCUAGUAUGUGUGAGGCACUGGGUUCAGUCUUCACCGCAUAAAAAUAAAGGUUGUGUCCAUCUUUAACUAAAAAAAUUUUUUAAAAAAAUUUAAAUUUAUCAUUGCCAGCCCCAUUCGGUGAAAAUUACAAAAAUUGGCAUAAGGCCCUCAUCAAUCCGCAGAUGAUAUCCUCCAAAUUGCAGCUUCCAUGUUUUCUAACAAAGAUCAGGAGGAAAAGAAGGAAAGGGAGCCUGAUACAUGAAAAAGGUUGCGGCACUGGUCAUGGCCCUAAGAGCUUCCCAGAUAAGAGGGGAGAAGAACAGAAUGAAUCUUCAGCCACAAAAGGGAUUUGUUUCCAUUUUUAAAAGAAAUGCCCACAGGCCAAAUGGCCAUCUAUGGAGCCCAUCCGCAAUGUCAAGGCAAUCAUUGGAGGAAUAAAUAUCUGCAGAUGUCCUCCAAGGUGUGGGUUCUUGAGGCCGGAUUCCUCCACACGGGCCUGAUGAGGCUUAGAGUGGAUUCUAAUGGCUGCCAUAACUCAUCACCAUGCAUGAGCCCUGGAUAUGGUUCUGCAUAGAGAGUGAAGAGGUCAGUUUCCUCUUGGAUACUGGCACUUUUCUGUACUCACCUAUUACCCUAGAUCUUUUUCCUCUAAUACUAUUAUGGUGCAAGGGAUGUCUGGACAGCCUUUUACCAGAAAAUUUAUUCUCCCAAUAAGUUGAGUGGGAUGAUAUGAUGUUUUCUCAUGCAUUCCUGAUAGUCCCUGAGUGCCCUACCCUUUCAUUGGCAAGGGAUUUAUUUUCAAAGCUCCAGGCUUCCAUCAUGAUGAGUUUAGGAUCACCAUGUUUACCUGUAUCAGAAUGCAAAAUAAACCCUGAAAUAUGGAUCACCGAAGGCAAGAUUGGAUGGGCAAAAAGUGCAGUCCCAGUUAAAAUAGUCUUAAAGGAUCCCUCUUUCUUCAUCAGACACAAUACUCCUGCACCCAGAGGCAAGAAGGGCUUAUUGGAGAUCCUUUAGAACCUCAAAGGGCAGGGACUUCUAGUAUCCAGCAAUACCCCAUGAACUACACCCAUCUUAGGAGUUUAGAAGUCAAACAGGGAAUGGUGCCUAGUCUAAGACCUUAGAAUGAUUAAUGAAGCAGUCAUUCUCUACCCUGUAGAUCCUAACCCAUAUACUCUGUUAUCUGAGAUCCCAGCUGCUGCUGCUUGGUUUACUGUAUUAGAUUUAAAGGAUGCCAUUUUGUAUAUACCCCCAGACUCUGAAUCACAGUGUUGUUUUGCCUACAAGGAAAAAGACAGUGGAUCUCCUUUAGCCUGGACAGUGUUGUCUUGGGGAUUUAAAGGUAGUCCUCACUUAUUUGGACAAACCCUAGCCAAGAAUUGAGAAAAGGUCAUCUUGGUGGUUCUCCAAUAUGUAGAUGAAACAUCCUGUGUGCCACCACUCAGGAGGAAUUUCAAAAGGCCACUACAGAACUCCUAAACUUUGUAGCUGGUAGAGGUUUUAAGGUCUCAAAAAGGAAAGCUCAGUAGUGACAACAUCAAGUUCAAUACUUAGGAUUACAGAUGUCUCAUUGAAUCUUCAACCUAGAAAAGGAGAGGAGAACCCCCAUAGGGCCAUAUUCUCCACCCCCAGACAGGAAGGCAAUGUAGAGUCUUCUUAGAAAUAACUGGCUUGGGGCUGGGGAUGUGGCUCAAGUGGUAGUGCACUCGCCUGGCAUGCGUGCAGCCCGGGUUUGAUCCUCAGCACCACAUUCCAACAAAGAUGUGUCUGCC